rnacentral:misc_RNA from 1 species
GAUGAAGAUCGUAGCGAAAUGCGAUACGUAAUGUGAAUUGCAGAAUUCAGUGAAUCAUCGAAUCUUUGAACGCAUAUUGCGCUCUCUGGUAUUCCGGAGAGCAUGCUUGUUUGAGUAUCAGUAAACACCUCAACUCCCUUUUCUUUUUUGAAAUGGGAGCUGGACUUGAGUGAUCCCAACACUUUUCUCACUGGAAAGUGGCGGGUCACUUGAAAUGCAGGUGCAGCUGGACUUUUCUCUGAGCUAUAAGCAUAUCUAUUUAGUCUGCCUAAAAAACAGAUUAUUACCUUUGCUGCAGCUAACAUAAAGGAGAUGAGUUCUUGUGCUGACUGAUGCAGGAUUCACAGAGACAGCUUUGCGGCUGACUUUGUAAACUCGAUCUCAAAUCAAGUAAGACUACCCGCUGAACUUAAGCAUAUCAAUAAGCGGAGGA